GUUUGCAUGCACAGGGAAGGAACAGCUCUCCUUCCCUCUCAAAACUUUCUCCUCUCUUUUUUCUCCUCUGUGCAAAAGUCUGACAGCUUGAUAAAAGCAGGCUUGUCUCAGAGACUGACUAAUGAAAGUGCUUGCAACAAUUUGGAGCCAAUCUGUCAAUGAAGAGCACACAGGUGGGUCUCUGACAGUCUGCUUUGCAGCAAAGUAUAUAAACCUAUGCUUAACUCUCAGGGCCUUUAGUGGGACUUAAGGAUAUAUUUGAUAAUAUUAAGUGCUGCACUGAUCUGGGAUGACUUGAAUACAAUGAUAGGAACAAGACAAGGGGAGAGGAAAUGAGGGGCUGGCCUCUAAGACAGGGAACAGAGAGAGACUUUCUGUGCCCUUCAAUUCUGCAAUGGCAAAGAAGCUUUUCAUAGUGGAGCACAUAUGCCUUUCUUUUCAUUGCCAUGGAAAUUAUAACUAUGAGCAGUACCAUUGGGGGAAAAAAAAAGGGGUUUAUUUCUCAAACUUCAGCUUCCAGCCCUUGUCAGAUCCUCUCUGGGCCCUUGUUCCCUGGAGCUGACAUGUUGAUGCUUUCAGUUGUAUCUGGUACUGGAGGCUGGUACUACAACAAUGAUUUGGGAGAUCUUGAGGAGUGGCAAGAAUGGGCAAGUGCCUUGAAAGUCUUCAGCAAGGAAGGACUGAUGCAGGAAGCAGUAAUUUCAAUGGACACUGAUUUGGAGCAGCAGUUUUUAAGGAGUUGUGUAUGUUGUUUCCACUUAUGCUAAGCCAGUUUAUAUUUUGUCCUGACUCUUUUACUUUCCUUCUAAAAUUGUACCAUCUUUCAACUUUGGCCUCACAAAGCUGUCGACUAAAUAUGUGGGGGAAUUCUAAUAAAAUAUAUUUGAAUUAGUAUCA
rnacentral:lncRNA from 1 species